GACGAACGCUGGCGGCGUGCCUAAUACAUGCAAGUUGAGCGCUGAAGGUUGGUACUUGUCCCAACUGGAUGAGCAGCGCACGGGUGAGUAACGCGUGGGGCAUCUGCCUUUGAGCGGGGGACCACAUUUGGAAACGAAUGCUAAUACCGCAUAAACACUUUCAACACAAGUUUUACGUUUGAAAGAUGCAAUUGCAUCACUCAAAGAUGAUCCCGCGUUGUAUUAGCUAGUUGGUGAGGUAACGGCUCACCAAGGCGAUGAUACAUAGCCGACCUGAGCGGGUGAGCGGCCGCAUUGGGACGGUGACACGGCACAAACUCCUACGGGAGGCAGCAGUAGGGAAUCGUCAGCAAUGGACGAAAGUCUGACCGAGAAACGCCGCGUGAGUGAAGAAGGGUUUCGGAUCGUAAAACUCUGUUGGUAGAGAAGAAAGGUGGUGAGAGUGGAAAGCUCAUCAAGUGACGGUAACUACCCAGAAAGGGACGGCUAACUACGUG
rnacentral:rRNA from 1 species